AUGCGUCAACCUAGUGUUUGGUUUGUGUGGGGCGCAAUUCUAGCAGGUCUCAGUCAUGAAGAUUCUGUCACUCAAUCUUUAUCCUCAUAUAGUUUGGCAGAAGGAGAGGCAGUGACUCUAAACUGUACCUAUGAUACGACAUCGAGCAGCUAUUCAUUAUCGUGGUACCGACAACACCCAGACAAUCAACUCGAGUACAUACUGAGGAAUGAUAAUGACGGUUAUCAGCAUUCUGCGGAUUUUGCACAGCAUCGCUUCUCAGCAGAACUUCAGACAUUGAAGAAAUUCACCAGUUUGACUAUAACUGGGCUACAGUUGAUUGACACUAAUGUGUAUUACUGCACUUUAUGGGACUACACAGUGAUGUGA